rnacentral:rRNA from 1 species
ACAAUGGAGAGUUUGAUCCUGGCUCAGGAUGAACGCUAGCGGCAGGCCUAAUACAUGCAAGUCGGACGGGAUUUGGGAGCUUGCUCCUCAUGAGAGUGGCGCACGGGUGCGUAACACGUAUGUAACCUACCUUAGUCAGGGGGAUAGCCUCUCGAAAGAGAGAUUAAGACCGCAUAACAUUGAGAUGUGGCAUCACAAUACAAUCAAAUAUUUAUAGGACUAAGAUGGGCAUGCGGAACAUUAGCUAGUUGGUAAGGUAACGGCUUACCAAGGCUACGAUGUUUAGGGGAUCUGAGAGGAUGACCCCCCACACUGGUACUGAGACACGGACCAGACUCCUACGGGAGGCAGCAGUAAGGAAUAUUGGUCAAUGGGCGCAAGCCUGAACCAGCCAUGCCGCGUGCAGGAAGACGGCCCUCCGGGUUGUAAACUGCUUUUAUUCGGGAAUAAACCUCCAUACGUGUAUGGAGCUGAAUGUACCGAAGGAAUAAGGAUCGGCUAACUCCGUGCCAGCAGCCGCGGUAAUACGGAGGAUCCGAGCGUUAUCCGGAUUUAUUGGGUUUAAAGGGUGCGUAGGCGGCCUGUUAAGUCAGGGGUGAAAGACGGUAGCUCAACUAUCGCAGUGCCUUUGAUACUGACGGGCUUGAAUGCACUUGAGGUAGGCGGAAUGUGACAAGUAGCGGUGAAAUGCAUAGAUAUGUCACAGAACACCGAUUGCGAAGGCAGCUUACUAUGGUCUUAUUGACGCUGAGGCACGAAAGCGUGGGGAUCAAACAGGAUUAGAUACCCUGGUA